GUGAGCUGUUUGAGCUGGAACUGUCGGGGGCUUAGGAACCCCGAGGCGGUUCGAGAGCUUCACAGUAUUGUGAAGCUAGAAGGACCCACUCUCCUCUUUGUUAUGGAAACGAAAAUCAAUGCAAAAAGAGUUGAGGAUUUGAAGUACACUCUAGGUUUUGGAGGUUGUUUUGAUGUAGACAGUGCUGGUCUGAGCGGCGGCAUUGGUCUUUUUUGGUCUCGCGAUGUU
rnacentral:rRNA from 1 species